CCUAGAGUGGCCUCAGACUGAUGGAAGUCCUGCUUGAACCUUCCACCUGUUAUAGCCCAGCACCUUUGGAUGCCAACCUCCCAUGACUCUGGACGAGGUCUGUGACAUCACAUACACGUUCAUGGGUGAGGCUCUAGGAUAGCAUUUCAAUCAGUCAUGGGCCACUCCUUCCUUCUGGAAACUUCCUCUCCAGCCUCUUCUCUCCUGCCUCACUUCCUCUCAAGCUGAUCCUCAGGGCAUUCCAGCACUGGCCCCUUAUGCCCCAUUCCUUUAUUGGGGGCCAUAAGCGUCAGCACUUUAUUCUGGCCCUCCUCAAAUCCUGCCUUGAUUAUUCUUUCUAGAAUGAACCUAGUUCUUUGGUUCCAGCUAGAGUGAGCUCCCACGCCUCUCUCCAGUCUCCUGGGUGUUCCUCAGAUCACCUCUGAGCAUCCCUGAAUCCCAGCAUCAUCACAUGCCCUUGAGCCUCCUUCUAGGGACCAGGCUACCUCACUGUCCACGUGUUUCAUGGCUAGACCCAAGAGUCACGCUUGCUCCGUUAUAAUCUAAUCCCUACCUUAAGUGAGUCUUACUUCUGCAGGCUUACUGCUGGCUCUAGGAUGCUCCAGCCCAGGCCUUGCCUUCACUUGUCCCCAAGCCUUUCUUGCCUCCUGGGUCUCAGUCCCUCACCAGUGCCUCAGCAUGCUCUUCAGUGCUCUGAUCCUCACAACGAUCUUGGUAGCUCAACUAUAAUCCAGGCUCCUCCCCAACUCCCCACUUUACACGUAGCUUUCUGGUAUGGAAGCCUGGAUCACCGCUUACUGUCAUGCUUCUCUGCCUAGCAAGUUUAUACUCAUUUUCAAAAAUUUAAAAACGAUGUGUAUGUGUAUUUUGAGCGUAUGUGUUUGCUCACCAUGUUUAUACCUGGUGUUCUUGAAGGCCCUGGGACUGGAGUUACAGUUGUGAGCUCC
rnacentral:lncRNA from 1 species